UUGUGAAAAACAUGACCUGCAGAAAUAUGACCAGCCGAUGAAUAAUAGUAUAUCCAUCAAACAAAUCAUAUACCUCAGAAACAAGUAUCUAAUCUCAGAAGACAACACUCCCUUUCCAACCCAUCUCUAUUGAUCCUGAAGUUCAAUUCGUUGAAGAAAGCUCUUUUGAGGACCACCCGCAAGUCGUGCUAGGAGUUUUUCGGGUUUGGCUGAUCGAACUGGAAAAGAAUUUAAUGAGUUUAGAGAAUUUCAUGCGUGUUGAGAUUAUGUCUAAGUAGCUGUUUGAAUUUCAAAUUUAAGUUGUAAGUUUGACCCUUUUUAAAUUAAGGUUGAAUAAGUCCUUUUAAUGUGAAUCCAGCUGACACCCCAGAGCACAAAUGGAUCACCCUUUUUAGCUUGCCUCACUUAGUGGGAUAAGAAGACUUUUGUGGUUGUUCUU